UUACAGGGUUUCUCUCCAGGCUGAUUGCUGCCCAGUGUGAGGUUGCUGGUGUGGCCAUCAUUUCUGGAGAGAAAUCCUGCCACAGGCAGCCUGCCAAAACCCCAGGAUAGUGAUUACAAUAGGCCUGGCUUUCAGCCUUCAAGGUAGUGAUGCAGAUGGAACGUGGUGGCCAACACCUGGAGGGCCAGGGUUGGAAUGAUCAGCUGUCACAGUGCCUGGAUGAAUUCACCUCACCAUCUCUUUGGAAAACAGCAGGAGUGGCCCAGCAGGAAGCUUCCUGUCCCUCGAUGUCAUGCACAUGUGGUUCCAUGGAGGGACCCAGUGUACAGGCCAGUGCCUUCGGAGAGCAGCCACGUUCACCAUCAAGGCUUCGCUAUGAAAACUAAAGACAUGAUGAUAGAGAUGUGGAGGUCUGCGGACAGGAGCUCUCUCACAAUUUCCAAUGUGCAUCUCUCUUUUGAUACAUGAAACUUCUUGAAGUUUUGAAUGGCAAACUGAAGAGGUUCAGAGUAUGCCACCCCAAACUUGCCACGUGAACACAAAGAUUAUUUGGAGCUAAAUGUAUUUGAGAUUCAGCAGAUGCAGAAAGAAGCCUUCCCAGAGUUUCCCUUACCUGACUAAAAGCAGAUACUUCUGAGAAAUGAAGAUGGUCAUAGAUCCCCAUCCUGGGGCAGUUUUAUGCCAUGAAGGAGCUGGAAAGUCAAUGUCAAAAUGGACCUGCACAGGCAAACCUUACUCUAUCAGUUUCCCUCAAUGUUUUAUCUUCCCCGAGUUUGCCAUCCUCAGAAGCCUGAAAGUUUUUCUUUUGUCUUAUCACUUUUCUGUACAAUUAUUGAUUUUUUGUUAAGGUGCUAUAUGAGCCCAAGUUCUAACCACUCCUUUGCCUUAAUCGUCACUGAAUUUCCCAUGUGUAUGUGCAAUGCACAUAUUAAUAAACUUCUCUUUGUUUUUCUCUUGUUACACAUCUGUCUCUUUUCAAUGUAAUUUGCGAGACUCCAGCUGAAGAACCAAGAAAGGGAGGUAAAAAGAAUUAUUCAAUAUCUCA
rnacentral:lncRNA from 1 species